UCUCUCCCCGCCGCCUCUCUCUCCUCGUUCCACCACCGUCAGCGGCCGCCGGGCCCUACAGUCGCCACCACCACCUCCUCCUACUCGUUCCUCACUCCUGAUCUUCCAUCUCCCUCCCGACCUCGAGCGCAGCAGCGGAUUCGGUCCGAGCUGGAGGUGAUGUCGACGAGGUUGCAGUUCCCGUCGGCAUCCUCUGCAGCGGUUCCCGCGGGGUGGGCCGUACUCUGCUCAUAUCGAUGUCGGCGGCCGCGACCAUCCGUGCCAUGGCAUCAGCCUUCCCCUGCCCGGCGCGGCAGCUUGUUGGUUGGAUCGCGCCAUCGACGCAGCUGGUUCGGCGGGGAUUGGGGACUCUGUAUCAUACUACAUCUCCGCCCAGUGUGCUCCCAGUCUCCGACCAUUUUUUAGGUGCGGAUCGCCCCAACAUUGCUACACCACACGCAUCUCUCUUGUUUACCAUGUGCCGAGUGCUCGUACUAAUUGAACCUAAGAAUUCAUCCUGGGGAACAGCCACCAUCUUCGUUUUGGUCUCCUACGCUGACAUCCUGGCAACCACCGCAUGAGAAAACUUGAAGUUCAGAGUAAAAUGUAAAUGCAGAGUAUGGUCGUUACGUGUUUCCAUAUCUUCCUGUAGAUUACUUUGUGCUGCUUCAAUUGUUCCAUUUUUUUAGAAUUCUGCAAACAGAUUUUGCAAGGCUAUGUACUUGAUCGUCAUUUUUUUUCCUUUAUGUUUUUAUUUCUAUGCAAUAAGUUUUGUUAUCUAAAAAAACAGGACACUAAUACACAAUGUUUCUAACCAUCUCACAAUUAUUUCAUGUAUAUAAUCUGGUAGAACUUGGCAUGCUGGGUUCUAGUAGAUAAGUUUAAUUAGAUGGAUCAACAAUGCAACAACACUGGAAAGUGCAGUUUUUAUUCAAUAGAAUUGACAAGAUUAAUUUUUGUAUUACAUAGCACUUCCUGUGAAUUACACGCAUCAGUUGUAUGCUUUAUAUCCUUCAUGUAGCAUUUUCCCCGUUUCUUGAACUGAAUCAAUUGUAACAGAAAUGGCAACUUUGCCUAGAGGAACACCGGGAAAUGGAAACAUGCAACUGAAUCCCCGUGCUUUUUCCAAAAGUUUUCUACAUCACUUGGGUAGAAUCCUCUGUAGUUCUAUAAUAACCCCCGAUGAGGGUAAAGGCAUGGUCCAAUAUUACUAGAGCUGCUCUGAAACAUAUUUUUGAUUCAAUUAAAGUAACUUUGGUCAUUGGCUCUAACAUCAUAACCUGAAUUACUGUACUGCUGUACUUAUGAUAUUCUGUUUUUAUGAACAGCUAUUAGGACUUGGCAUUUUUCAUUUCCCAUGAUAUAAGCCCAGUGUGACUUGUCUUGUCAUUUAUUUCAACUAGUAAUAGCUACUUGCCUUUGUUGCAACAGGGAGAAAGGAAAACAAGCCCCGACAAUGGACAAACAAUUUUCUGAGACUGACAAAAAGGGUACAACCUUCAUUGAUUCUACAGCCUCUGCCAAACAUAAGUGUGACUCAUCUAAGCGGCAUGAUCGCGUAGUUGGCUUUGGUGGUAGAAUUAGAGCAAGAAAUUUGCGAGGACUAACAUUAAGGAAGGCUGAAUAGGUUUCAAAACUUCAAGCUUCCGAGCACGCGAAACAAGUACUUGAUGAAAAGUUCAAUGGCGUGGUGCAAGAAGUGUUAGCAAUUAAACGUCUUAUGUCUGCUAUAUCUCUAAGUGAUAGUUCUCAUGAAAUCCAACAUGAUCAAGACUGAUGGUCCACCGUAAGAUAUAGAAGCAUCAAGAGGCAUUGUAUUCACCGAUGAAGAAUGAUAUCCAUUCAAAGAACUAUGUUGUCCCUCGACUGAAGAUUAAAAAUAUUAUAUUUUCUAGUUCUCCCGUUUUCCGAAUAGAUAUGAGCAAGUAUAUUGGUCA